GACGAACGCUGGCGGCGUGCUUAACACAUGCAAGUCGAACGGAAAGGCCCUGCUCUUGUGGGGUGCUCGAGUGGCGAACGGGUGAGUAACACGUGAGUAACCUGCCCUUGACUUUGGGAUAACUUCAGGAAACUGGGGCUAAUACCGGCUAGGAGCUCCUGCUGCAUGGUGGGGGUUGGAAAGUUUCGGCGGUUGGGGAUGGACUCGCGGCUUAUCAGCUUGUUGGUGGGGUAGUGGCUUACCAAGGCUUUGACGGGUAGCCGGCCUGAGAGGGUGACCGGCCACAUUGGGACUGAGAUACGGCCCAGACGCCUACGGGAGGCAGCAGUGGGGAAUAUUGCACAAUGGGCGGAAGCCUGAUGCAGCAACGCCGCGUGCGGGAUGACGGCCUUCGGGUGGUAAACCGCUUUCGCCUGUGACGAAGCGUGAGUGACGGUAAUAGGUAAAGAAGCACCGGCUAACUACGUG
rnacentral:rRNA from 1 species